AAGUCGUAACAAGGUUUCCGUAGGUGAACCUGCGGAAGGAUCAUUACAGAGAGAGGGUCCGCAAGGACCCAACCUCCAACCCUUUGUUUACCUUACCACUGUUGCCUCGGCGGGUCGCCGGUGUCUUUUUAGUUAGGAUUACCGCCGUCGGCCUCCGCGCUCUCGAGUGCCCGCCGCCAGGCCCCCCAAAAGCCCUUUAAAUUCAAUCAUGAUUUCCUGAGUUAGUAAAGUUAAAUAAUACUUCAAAA
rnacentral:misc_RNA from 1 species